CCUACGGGCGGCAGCAGUGGGGAAUAUUGGACAAUGGGGGCAACCCUGAUCCAGCCAUGCCGCGUGUGUGAAGAAGGCCCUCGGGUUGUAAAGCACUUUCAGUGAGGAAGAACGCCUGGUGGUUAAUACCCAUCAGGAAAGACAUCACUCACAGAAGAAGCACCGGCUAACUCCGUGCCAGCAGCCGCGGUAAUACGGAGGGUGCGAGCGUUAAUCGGAAUUACUGGGCGUAAAGCGCGCGUAGGUGGCUUGAUAAGCCGGUUGUGAAAGCCCCGGGCUCAACCUGGGAACGGCAUCCGGAACUGUCAAGCUAGAGCGCAGGAGAGGAAGGUAGAAUUCCCGGUGUAGCGGUGAAAUGCGUAGAGAUCGGGAGGAAUACCAGUGGCGAAGGCGGCCUUCUGGACUGACACUGACACUGAGGUGCGAAAGCGUGGGUAGCAAACAGGAUUAGAUACCCUAGUAGUC
rnacentral:rRNA from 1 species